rnacentral:rRNA from 1 species
GACGAACGCUGGCGGCGUGCUUAACACAUGCAAGUCGAACGGAAAGGCCCUGCUUUUGUGGGGUGCUCGAGUGGCGAACGGGUGAGUAACACGUGAGUAACCUGCCCUUGACUUUGGGAUAACUUCAGGAAACUGGGGCUAAUACCGGAUAGGAGCUCCUGCUGCAUGGUGGGGGUUGGAAAGUUUCGGCGGUUGGGGAUGGACUCGCGGCUUAUCAGCUUGUUGGUGGGGUAGUGGCUUACCAAGGCUUUGACGGGUAGCCGGCCUGAGAGGGGGACCGGCCACAAUGGGACUGAGAUAGGGCCCAGACGCCUACGGGAGGCAGCAGUGGGGAAUAUUGCACAGUGGGAGGAAGCCUGUUGCAGCAACGCCGCGUGCGGGAUGACGGCCUUCGGGUUGUAAACCGCUUUCGCCUGUGACGAAGCGUGAGUGACGGUAAUGGGUAAAGAAGCACCGGCUAACUACGUG